CAGAUUUUUAUGGACAGUUUUAAAAUUUACUGUAUUUAAUUUCCGAAACUAAUGAGACUCGGACUUCUUCAUACUUGAGUAAAAUAAUAUUUAGAGUACAAACCUAUCCUAAUUCUGAGCUGGUACGUCUUAUGAUAUGAUCGGCAGUGUUAAGUACUUUUUAACAAUACUCCAUACUCUAAAGUCAGACCUAGCAAGAAAGGAAGUUUAUGAAUUAGAGUAAUGAACUCUAGCGCACUGCUUUGUUUACUGGGACCGUGAACUAUACUCGAGGUUAUAUGUCGUGCUUUUCGGCGUAACACCUCAUUUAAGGUGUCUUUCUUUUCUCAUGCCUCUUUGUAUAUGGAAGGUUCGUUGAUGACAAAAGCUUAUACUGGACUAGAAUCGGACCCGAGCUGGUGAAUGAUGAUACUUUUACGUUGCAGUCGUUCCAAGCCAUGAAGGUUUGGAAGAGCAUUAUCUGUGUCGUCCAUUUGUGCCGAGCACUGUUUGUUCCUAAAAAUCCUUCUCGGAUGCGCAUCAACUUGGCUGGCAGGAAAUCUAUCGAUGCCUCUCUAAGCAGGUGACUACCAAAUUAAGAAAAGGAACCCUGGAGGAAGGAUCAAGAACCGCAAAUCAGACUGUACUGAAAUGUGCCGUCAGUGCACCAGACUGGAAUCCUUUUAUCUUCCGAUAAUGGGAGGGUCUUGUUGUUUAUCAGGAAGGAUGGAGAUAAAGCCUUGAAGAGGAUUUUCUGUUAUUACGUAUUUGGCCAAAACUUUACUCUCAAACUUUCGUAUAAACACAACGGUGUCAGUGAUUGAUGGCAAGUUAAUUUCUUUAAUUGUUGCCCCACCUAAAGGUGAUGAGUUGCUUUGUUCAUCCUCUCAAAAAGCGCUGAAGAAAAUUAACUUGUUUACUUUCGUUGUGUUAGGUGAGUAUCACCGAAUUUAGAGAGAGGAUCACUGAAAACGAUCAUGGAUGAUGUGCGAACCAUGUUGCACUUAUUGUUAUGUCUGAUCGUACUAUCUGAAAGCCUUUGUUGUCUGUUUACGCGUUCUGAUUGAUAGUGGUCGUAAGAUGGUUGUGCUCGCCCUCUUGAUAUUUAAAGGUCACUAAAAUAUGUAUUUAACUCUAUCGAGUUGACCUUCGUCCGACUAUACCUGACUAUACUUGCCGCAUCAGUAUGUAGGGUUAAGUGCUUUGCAUUUAACAUAUUUUCCAUGCGGGCUCCCUAUAUGAGCCUCUGCCAAACUGUGUAUCUCGUUUUAACUUAGGAUGAAUUCUAAUGUCCUCGUUCCUAUUUGAUUCCUUGCUCUAAAAGCCAACCGUAAUAUUUACAGUGACAGUUGAUGAAAAUUAAUUACUGUCACUUUCGAAGGGCUGGACUUCCCGUAAUUUUUUUCCUUUGCUUCUCCGAGUAUUUUGCGGUUCAGAAAAGCACGAACUCCGAAAUUCAAAAUAGGAUUAGGAAAUGGUCCAUUGAAUAUUAAAGCCUUGUAACAACUUUGAAUCCUCUUUGAGAGAA